CAGUCUGGAUGUGUAUUUUCAUCUGUUGGUAUCAAUCUAUACAGUAAAUACCAUUCAGAUUGCA
rnacentral:pre_miRNA from 1 species